CAGCCGGUAGUUGCAGAUGCAGCAUCAUCAAGAUUCACAAGUGAAGUGGUUUCCUUGGUUUUCGCCUCUCCAUCCGAAAACAAAGGGUUCUUCUCGAAUGGGAAUCUUGAUGAUGCUGCAUCAGCAUAUACAUGGCUA
rnacentral:pre_miRNA from 1 species